rnacentral:lncRNA from 1 species
UGCCAUCGGCGAAGAACAACAACUUUUUGAGGUAGGACGAACUCAUAUACCAGACACAUAACAUUCAGUAUUUUUUAUAGUUGUUAAAAUGUAUUUUAUUCUAUUUGGUUUGUAUUUUUUUUUAAUAAGUCUUAUAAUGUUGUCUUUUAACAUUUGAUAUUUCCAUAUGUGGAUGUGCUUUGUUUGUUGGGAUCAAAUUUGAUGUUUAGAAUACUCGCAAGCAUGCUAUAUUAUCUAGGUCUCAUGCAACUACAAAACAUUUCGCAUCCCAUAUAAGUACAAAUUUGCGACAUGUGGAGUUAUCUGAGUCGAAAAGUCUAUUGAAAAGAAUUGGGAAUGUCUCAACAAAUAGUUGAAUGCAUGUUUAUGUGUAAUAAUCUUGGUGCUAAAUAUUUUUCAGGAAUCCAAUAUUUCACGGAAGGAUAAAACACAGAGGUGAAUUAUGAACUCAAGUCUUUAUAAGAGUAAACGUAUAAUUUUUUUGUUGCUUCCAGAGACAUCUUCAUACUUAGAUAUCUAAGUCGUAUGAUUUUUAGUUACGUAUAAGUUGAUUCCACCAUUGGAUAUGGAUUGUGCUUUAUGAUUUGGUAAGAACGAUGGAGAAGAGGAAGUAGGGAUGACUUUGAGAUACUGAUCCGACGGCUCUGAUACUAUCAAGUGAGAUUUAAGUCUUUUGCUUAAAACUCAGGCGCAUGAGAUAUAUACACCCAUAGAUAUUUGGCAUAGUAAACAUAGAUUUUUCUCAAGUCUUAACAUAGAUAUUGUUACAUUAAUGGUAGU